CUGGGACACGGGGCGAUGGCGGGUCCGUGCCCACCCCUAAGAGGCCGGGAGGAACGCGAGAAGGCCCAGGGAACCCUUUGGGGAGGCGCCGCCCCUGAGAUGUGGAGCCAGGGAGAUACCACCGCGCGGAAUGGGGGGUCCAGCCAGGCCUGGGAUGAAGACAGGACCGGAAGUGUUGCCAGAUGAACAGGCAGGCUUGAGCAGCUUGGCAGGGCAUCCCGGAGCUUCCCGAAGGAGCCGCUGCGCCGCAAGGAGCCGCUGCCGUCCUGCAGGGAGGCCGACAGGUUUGUCUCUGCCUCACCAGCUACACAGCCCCCUGGGCCAGCCAGCCCCUGGACUCACCCCGCUCCACUCGGCUGCAGGCCCUGCCUCCUCCAGGCACUGGGGCUUUGUCAUCCCCAGGAAGAGCGCUCCGGCAGAUGACUGCAGUCAGGGAGGGGCCUCACCGGUAGACCAGCGCCAGGAUGUUCAGCAUGGUGGCCACGUCCGGGUGGUCGUGGCCCGAGGUCUUCUCCAGGUCCUCCAGGGCCUGCUUGCAGAGGGGCACGGCCACCUCGUAGCGGCCCUGCGAGGCAUACUGGAUCACCAGGUUGUGCAGCGUGCGCAGCCGCGCCGGGAUCUCAUAGCCCCCGUGCUGGGCGGCCACAUCGCCUCCUCCAGGGCUAGGGGCUGCGAAGCCAAGGGGAGGAGGUCAGAUGCACCAACUGUCCCCCGAGCUGGGGGAUAGCUUUGACUGAUCUCAGGCGUGGCCCUGGGCAAAUCACUAACUGUAACCCUCUGUCAGUUUCCCCUUCUAUAGAGUGGGUCUAGUCACUCCAUAGAAAGAGAGGGUGGAGUCCCAGCUCCAGUAAUUCAAGCUAUGUGGCCCAGAGCAAGCCGCCUAACCCCCUAGUGGAGCAUCCGCCUCCUCAUCUGCAGAAGGGAGGCUCUGAUUGGCACAUGACAUGAUGAACAAGGCCAGCACUGGCCUGGGGCUCCGCACUGUGCAUCCGUCCUCCUUUAACCCUCGGGGGAGGCUCGGAGAAGAAAAGAAACUCUACCAGCGGUCACAGAGCAAAGAGUGCAAGUCAGGGAUCACACCCAGGCCGGGCGGCUCCAGGGCUCUGAAUUGUGAUGCCUGCUUCUCACGGAACUUGAAGUGAUGAGAGAAGCAACAGGUAAAGCUGGCCUUUUAAACUCUCAUGCUGGGAUGUUAUGAUCAGAAAUGAGGCAGGGAAGAACCUGGUGGUCACUCAGACCUUGUUUCCUGUGACCUCUGGGCCCUAGGGACCGGUUCACCCAGCCUUCCUUCCCCACCCCCAGAGCCAGCCGCCCCUCCAGAACCUGGGUUCUGCUCCUCCUCACUGGGGAACAGGUCAUCCAGAGAGUCUUUGGGGACAUCCCCUUUGUCCUCCUGGGGAGGGAGACAGGGUGUCAGGGAAGGUGGGCAGCCCAGGGGUCAGCGGGCUAGGUGGGAACCGCACCUGCUCCCUGCCACCUCCCCUGCUUCCAGCCCCCCUCACCGCCCCCCACACCCUACAGUGGCCUUGCAGUGGCCACGCCAGGGCUCACGUGGGGGGAGGUGUCCUCGUCCAACUUGCGGAUCUGGCUCAUGAACAGCAAGUGCUGCUUCUCCUCCUCGAGCUGGGCCACGGCCUGCUCGCUGCGCUGCAGCUUCUGCUGCGUCCCCGCCAGCUCCUCACGCAGCCACUGGUUCUCCUGCACCAAGCGCCGCACCUGGGCCCGCAGCUUCUGCUUCUCCGACUCCACAGCCCCCAAGUGGCUCGAGAGCGCCAAGAUCACCUGUGGCAGCCAGCCGGGAUGGAGGAGUUGUAUUCAAGCCCUGUAGCCAGAGCCACUACAUCACUGCCCCUGGCCCGGGGCUAGCACUUUUCCAAAGAUUCCUGAGAGAUGGCUGAAAGGAUACCAAGAGACCCUAUCCUGACUUCUGCCCAGAGGCCACCUGCAGCUCCCAGGGAGGGAAGGAGUCUUGAUUUAAAUGUCAUUCCUUCAGAAGUGUGGCUUGACCAAUAGAUAAGACCUCCUGCCAUAAGUUUUUUUUUGAGAACUCACUGUAACGUUAAAUAAAUAUAUGUAUUUCUGACUCUUCUCCUACUAGACCUGGCAGGGAUCUUGUCUGUCUUGGACCUGUAUCCCUGACACCUAACACAUUUCCUGGCGCUCAGUAGGCACUUGAUAACUUACCUGUUAACAAAUGAAUAAAAGAAUAAAUGAGGGGAGGGGUCCUUAAGGACUUCCUUUUUGUUUCCCUAGGCCAUGCAGUCUCUGCUAGGUAGCAGAGAAGUCAGACGAUCAGCCUUCCUGGGCCUAGGUCCAGCUAGGGUCUUCAAAA